AUGCUGUUGCCUAUCAACCUUCAACCUAGUGUCCCGGACACCAUCAUUUGGAAGCUCUCCAGUGAUGGAUCUUACUCUGCCAAGACGGCCUAUUUAGCCCAAUUUGCUGGACUUGUUCAAUCCAACUUGCAAACCAUUGUCUGGAAGGCUUGGGCCCCCCAAAAAUGUAAAUUAUUUGCAUGGUUGGUCACACAAAAUCGGGUCUGGACGGCGGACAGGUUGCAACGUCGUGGGUGGCCAAACUGUGAUCGUUGCCCGCUUUGCAAUCAAGUGCGAGAGUCCGCGGCACAUCUACUGUUCAAGUGCCGCUUCUCCAUUCGGGACUGGAAGGAGGUCCUUGCAUGGCUGCACCUUGAUGUUGAUACCACCCACUGGCUGAACUUUGACACAGUAAGGUUUUGGUGGGAUGGAGUCCUCGCCAACAAUGCGCACCCGAGGAGAGCCUUGGCCUCCGUACUACACCUUGUAAGCUGGGAGCUUUGGAAGGAGCGGAAUGCACGCGUGUUCAGGACCAGGGCGGCGCCUGUGGCGGUCAUAGUGCGAGCUAUUAAGGAGGAGGCAUCUAUCUGGGCUAUGGCGGGCGCCAAACAUUUGUGUAAUUUGAUGCCGCGAGAGUAG
rnacentral:rRNA from 1 species